rnacentral:rRNA from 1 species
AAUCAACGCUGGCGGCGUGCUUAACACAUGCAAGUCGAACGAGAAAGAGGGGGCAACUCCUUGGGUAAAGUGGCGACCGGGUGAGUAACACGUGACUAACCUACCCUUGAGUGGGGAAUAACCUUCCGAAAGGAGGGCUAAUACCGCAUAACAUCGCGAGGCGAGAUUCCCUGUGAUCAAAGGAGCAAUUCGCGUAAGGGGGGGGUCGCGGCUGAUUAGCGAGUUGGUGCGGUAACGGCUCACCAAGGCGAUGAUCAGUAUCCGGCCUGAGAGGGCGCACGGACACACUGGAACUGAAACACGGUCCAGACUCCUACGGGAGGCAGCAGUGGGGAAUUUUGCGCAAUGGGGGAAACCCUGACGCAGCAACGCCGCGUGGAGGAUGAAGGUCUUUGGAUUGUAAACUCCUUUCGAUCGGGGCGAUUAUGACGGUACCGGAAGAAGAAGCACCGGCUAACUCUGUGCCAGCAGCCGCCGUAAAAC